rnacentral:lncRNA from 1 species
UAUGCCCCAAAAUUACUAGCUAAACAUUAUCCUUGAAGAGUAGUUGAUUUGUGUCCAAUUCGCAACAGGAUAAAUGAUAAUUUGCAAAGAAAACAAAAUGUAUGGGCAAUGAACAAUAACAUCGAUGUUGCAAAACCUAGAUAGCGUUUCAGAAACUCUGUCUCUCCCUCGGCAAUUUUGCAUGUGAAGUUCGUCACUUUUGUGCCUCGCCUCCGCGAUCGACAGAGGUUGAGAAUAUGCUAUCGAGUCAUGAGAACCUUCUGAAGCGCGAUGAGUUCAAGAAGGAGAUGGGGGAAUGUAGCCGCUACGGCUGCUGUAAGAAGAGAUCGAACAGGAAAAAGAUUAAAAAAAAAAAGAAAGGAAAAAAAAAUCUAGUCAUUAAUUAAAUAAUCAGUAAAUUCA